UUGGAUAAGGGGAAGAGACGCCAGGAAG
rnacentral:piRNA from 2 species